rnacentral:rRNA from 1 species
GCCAAGUCGUGAGGCGGAGCUAAUCCCUUAAAGCCAUUCUCAGUUCGGAUUGUAGGCUGAAACUCGCCUACAUGAAGCUGGAGUUACUAGUAAUCGCAGAUCAGAAUGCUGCGGUGAAUGCGUUCCCGGGUCUUGUACACACCGCCCGUCACACCACGGAAGUUGGGGGCGCCCGAAGCCACUUAGCUAACCCUUUUGGGAAGCGACGUGUCGAAGGUGAAAUCAAUCGACGUGGGGUGAAGUCGUAACAAGGUAGC